AAAAAAAAUAACUUGGCGGUAUACAUGUAAAUAUGAUGAAAGUAUAUUCUAACUAAUGAUAGCUGUCAUCUGGUAGUGUAAAUAGCAAUUUCAAUCUGUUUUGGAAUUUUCAUUUUACGAAUCAAACAACUGCAUUUUUGUGCUUCAUUUAUUGGAGAGAGCGGAAUGGUGCAAUGUUGAUCAGCGACUGAAACGGUGUUGACCGACGAUCGAAAAGGUGUUUUUCGAUGAGAUAGGUGACCGGAUCAUCUGUGGGCAUCUAUUGUUGGUGUUUUCCGUGCGUGCGUUAACAUUGCUUCGUUUUCUUGGAGCGAGUUGGCGAAGUGUAAUCGGAGGAACAUGCGGUGUCAAUCGGAAAAUCAGAAUCGAUUUUCUUGUAGAUUGCGAACAGAGGUUAGCUUUUUCCGGCGACUUAAAUCGAUUUUGUAAGUGAUUUUUGUUAUUCUCUUUUCCGAUUCAGCAUUCCGUUGUGUAACUGCUUCCUCAAUUUCUUGAUCUUUAUUGAAUUCAUGUGAUCGGAAAACCUUACCGCGGUGCGGUGUUGAAAGGAGAACGAAGGUUGUGCGAUUUCCGGCAAGAUAGGUGAAUGGAAAAUGGCACGCUUAGUUUUAUCUUCUCAAAACGCAGAACAGGGAGGUUUACGGUGAGCUUGUGAUUGUAAUUUCAGCAUGUGACUCUAACAACAGUGCAUUCGGUAAUCUUCAAAGCAUCCACUACACUCCAAUUAGAAUCAGUUCAAGUUUUGCAAUUUUCGUCAUUAAUAGUUGAAGACUGUGCGAAGAACAUUUUUCGGUGCAAUUGUUCUUGAAUUCAGAAUCAAUGUGUAGCGAAUUUGGAGCACAUGUGAGCCGAUGCAGCACUUUGCAUAAGGUUGAGAUAAUUCCUCGAACAGGUUAUGUGUCUCUCUAAUUUCUAAAUUUUGUUGGUGAUUGGAAAAUUACAUUGACUUGGUGAUGUUGCUUGAACCUGCACCGAACUUGUUUGUGAAAAUGUUUCAUUUUAAAGCAAUUUUUUUUGAGUGAAUAAGAAUUAGUGCUGUUAAAUUCCUCUGGUUCACUGUAUUUUGUGCGUCAAUUGUUUCUCCAAUUUACAUUCGUCUGCUUUUGUAAAAUUAUUUUAAUACUAUUGUUGAUUGAAUGAGAGUGACUUCAUGAUGCUUUGUACGAAUUCUGGAGCAGUGAAUGUGUAUUCUGAAAUCCAACAAAUAACGUGAUUUUGGAACUGUUGGACGUAAAAUUGGGUUGUUGUUUACAAUUGGAAAAAUAUCAGGAUAAAUAAACCAAUAUUACUGAUCUUGGAAUAUAUUUUUUUGCCUAUUUUUCGGCAUUGUUUACGCUGUCAAUAUUUAUUAUGGUGUUGCAUGGCAUUAUAUUUUUAUUUUAUAAUUAAUUAAAAAAUUCAAAUAUAGAGAAGAGACAAAUUAUUUCAAGAUAUGUUAAAAGUGAUACAGUCCUUCAUCACUUUGAAUUUAUUUUUCUUCAGAUUUAAAAAGCUUUAGUAUCGAUGGAUUACCAAUGGGAAAAAAAUCUAAAUUACAAAAUUCAAUGAAUUUAUCUUAAAUCUAAAUUUAUAUUUUUGGAUUUUAAAUCCAAUCCAUUUAAUUGAAUGGAUAUGGAAUGAAUAUGGAUUAGAUAUAGAUUGGAUACAUUUUUGGAUUAUUUAAAUUGUAUUUUGGGUUAGAUUUUGACUUGGUCCGAUCCAGGUUGAGUCAAGACGAUUCGGGCCCAGGUUGAGCAAAGUCAGCCCAAGUCCACGUCGACCUGACUCGUCCGGGCCCAAGUCAAAUUGUGUCGGUAUGGGCCAAAUUCGAGCCAAAUCAUUUUGAGCCAAAGUCGAGCCAAGUCAACCCUAAGCUAAGCCGAGCUGACUCGCCGAUAUUUAGUUGACCCAAGUCGGCUGGGUCCGAUAUUGAGUCGAGUUGGCCCAUGCCCAUGUCUAGUCGAGCCGGUCCAGCCCAUGUCGAGCUGAGUCUUUCGAUUUCGAUAUUGAUUCGAGCGAGCUCAGGUAGAUAUCUAGACGAUCGGGCUAGGGUUGAUGUCGAGCCGAGCAGGUUUGGGUCGAUGUCGAGCAGAGCGGGCCCGGGCCAAUGUCGAGCCGAGCGGGUCCGGGCCAAUGUCGAGCCGAGCGGGCCCGGGCCAAUGUCAAGCCAAGCAGGCCCGGGCCAAUGUCGAGCCGCGCAGGCCCGGCCAAUAUUGAGCCAAGCGGAAUAGGGUCGAUAUCUAGUCGAGCAGAUCAGGGCCCAUGUCGAGCCAAGUGGACCCAGACCGAUGUCAAGUCGAGCGGGCCCGAGCAUGGGCCUAUGUUGAGUCGGGCAAUCUUGGGUCGAUGUCGAGCCGAGUAGGCAUGGGUCGAAGUCGAGCCUAGCAAGCCAGGCCAAUGUCGAGUUGUUUGGGCCUGGGCCGAUGUCUAGUUGAGCGGUCCCAAACCGAUGUCGAGCCGAGCGGCCCAGCGAUGUCAAGUCGUUCGGGCUCAAGUUGAUGUCGAUUCGUCCGAGCCCAGACCUAUCUGAGUUGAGCGAGCUCGGGCCGAUGUCGAGACGAGCGGGCCCAGGCCGAUGUUGAGCCGUCCAGGCCCGGACCGAUGUUGAGUCGUUCGGGCUUGGGACGAUGUCGAGUCGUCCAGACCCGAGCUUGGAUCGAUGUCGAGUCGUUCGGGCCCUAGACGAUGUCGUGUCGUCUAGACCCGGGCCUAUGUUGAGUCAUGCGAGCCCAUGCUGAUGUCGAGUCGUCUGGGCCCAAGCCGAUGUUAAAUCGUCUGUCAUGGGUCGAUGUCGAGUUGAGCAGGCCCAGGCCGAUGUUGAGUCGAGCAGACCCAGGUCGAUGUUGAGUCGAGCAGGCCCAGGUCAAUGUCAAGUUCUUCGGGCCUGGCUGAUGUUGAGUCGUCCGGGGCUGGGCCGAUGUUGAGUCGUUCGGGCUCAGGCAGAUGUCGAGUUGUCCGGGCCCAAACCGAUGUCGAGUCGAGCGAACCUGGGUCGACGUGGAGUUCUUCGGGUCUGGGCCGAUGUUGAGUCAUUCAGGUCCAGGCCGAUAUCGAGUCGUCCGGGUCCGGACUGAUGUCGAGUCGUCUCAGCCCGAACCGAUGUCGAGUCAUUCGGGUCUGGGCCGAUGUCGAGCCGUCCGGACCCAGGUUGAUGUUGAGCCGAGUUCAUCCGCGUCCAGGUUGAGUCGGCUUAGUCCCAGUCAAGUCAAAUUAGUUUGUAUCCUUAUCGAAAUGGAUUUAAUGUAAUUGACAAAUUAAAUUUAAUCUAAUAAAAUAAAUAAAUUUAAUCUAGAUUUAAUUCUCUUUAAAUGGAUUUUAAAAAAAUCCAAACAAAUUUCAUCUAAUUAAAAUGGAUAUAAAUUUUAAAUCUAAUAUUUUUUUCCAUACAUGACCACCCUAGUAUCCAAAUGCAGAAUAUUGUAAGAGAGAAAAAAGACUAUUGAUAAGGAUGAUAAAUUAGAAAGAUUUCAAAACUAAAGUAAAAUAAAUGAAGAAUUAAUAUUAAUUUUUUUACAUGCGUAAUAAUGAGAAAUUGAAAAUAUGAGUUUUAAAAAACUAAAAUUAUAUUUACUAACUUUCAUUAAUCUACAAAGUUAUAUCUUCGGAGUGACCAUCUAGUAUUCAUUUAAAAAAAGGAGGGUACAUUUAUAUUUACAAAUUAUAUGGAGGUACAAGAAGAAGCAGUGGAGGUGCAUGGAGAAGAAUUUGCCCAGGAAAAAACAUAAUGAAGAAAAAGAAACAAGAGGAUAAAGGCCCGACCCAAUAGCACGAAACUUAAUACACUCAAAAGAACUGAUGAACCAUGUUUCCAACAAUUCAUAAAUGAAGAGCCAUCUUUGUGAAUGGAUGCACCUUCUGCCAGUUCCUUCCAUUCCAAGGCUUUCUUGGUCAACUCUUUCCCCUUCUGUCCCUCCCUGAACUCCCUCACAACCCUCUCAAUUACCCUCUUAAUCACCUUCUAUCUGCAAUCCAACAUCUCAUUCAUCCACAAAUUUGUUGGUUGCUCCGCAAAGAAGGGCCACAUAUCAUUGGCACUCUAUUGCACAAACUCUCAAUAUUUGAAUUCCAACCACUGUGUUAAGAACCCUCCAACUACGGGGUGAGCCACCAUUUCUCUUGGCCACCAACCUGAUUAUAGGCCUCUAUUUUUUGUCUCUGACACAAACUCACCAUGAAGAACCGCGUUUUCACCUGCCACAAGAGGUAUAAUGACGCAAAAAAAAAAAAAGGUUUUGCCACUGUUAACAAGUCCCCAACCAAACUCAAUCAAUUGAUUACUCGUCAUGACUGUUAUGCUCCCAAAGUUCACGUAAUACUGACUUGGCUUCAUUGGCGUCAAGCCAUUCUCGACACUCUAUCUUCCUUCCGAAGGUUCGACCCAAUUGUGAUCAGGUCCUCAUUUCUGACAGGUUUCAUGAGUAAAGUUAAGGGACCACUGAGGAGGAAUAAUGGACGAAAGUACCUCCAAAACAUCAUACUCUAAAACUUCAAUGUGUUCAAAAUGAUUGCAGAAGCAUGCUUAGCUCUCCCACACUCCUCCUGCAAAACUGCAGGAUAAUGUCGUGUGGGUUCUGAAGAAACUGGGGAAAAUCUCUCAAUAAAAUUUCUUUGAUGCCAGGUACCCAAUUAAUGGUGGUCUCCAAAUACUCAUUUGCUAUAUAACUCAUGUCUGCAAGCAAAGGAAUGUAAUGUAUUGAGUGCAUGUCUGUACUCUCGUUAUAUAAAACAAUUAUUCACAUGUGUUGCUCCCACUUUAAGGAAUCGAUUCUAAGUUUUAAAUUAUACUUCCAGAUCAACCUAUGUUCAAAAUAAAAAUGUAUAUAAAUCAUUUCACUUCAAAAUUAUUUUAAUAAAAAUCGAUUCUAAAAACCCUCUUUCAAACAUAAACCUAAUAACAUAUAUCAAGUACGUAUCCUACAGGAACAAAAAUUAAUAUAGUGACAUGCCCCUUCUGUUGAUCAAGUUGACCAGAGCGAAGGAAACACAUGAACCUACAAGCUUUUAUAGUCAAAAAAAGGACAUCAUGGGAUGCCUGGUUCCCUGACAGCAAUUAAGGUGAAGGUCGUGGCACAGUUAGAAACUAUGCCAGGGACAUGUUUGGAGUUGUUAAGUAUUGCAGGGAGGUUCUUAACUGGAACAAACAUGUUCUUCGAAGGGAAUCACCCGGUGUAAUCCUGUGUGGCGUCCACAGCAGACUCUGGUAUGCUAUCAUGGGAUGGUUUCAAAGUAAAAUAACGAUAGUUAUGUGAAAACCACUGAAAUGGAGAAGUUUUGCUAGCUUGAGCAUUGGAGUUGUGGCCUUGAGCUGGGUACGCAAUACAAACUGCAUGAGGCUUCUGAACUGUAUACUCAAACAAGUCAUUUUCUGCUCAUACCCUUACUUCUGCAUGCUAAAAUUUAUAACCGAUUCAUGGAGGAGUGAUGGUGGACUGGUGUUAGGUUUGCACCUUUUUAGGAGAUAGGAAAUAAGAAUGAGUACCAAUAUUUUGACACCUCUGUUGAGGUUGCUCCAAAUUACAUCCGGCUGACGUGGCACUUUUAAUAUUAAGGAAAGAGUGUGUGGGUCCAGUUGCUGAGUUGGAAAAAAAAACCAAAAUAAAUCCCAUUUGGAAGGUGUGUGAGUUUCUGAAAGGGAGAAGGAGUGAGUUCGAAAAAGGGUUUUUGAAAGGGAGAGGGAGUGCGUUCGAAAAAAGGAUUUGUUCUUCCAUUGAGUUGUGCAUUUGAAAGGUAGUGUUGUGGAUUGCGAAGGGACUUUGUUGCCUUUGCUCUUCAUUGCGAAAAAACAGGUUCGAAUUUGCGUUUUCGAUUGCUAGGGUUUUCGAUUGGUAGGAUUUUGGAUUGGGCGCGACGGAUAGGGUUUUUGAUUGGCCGGUAAACAAGCGUGGCGAUUAUUGAAGGGAGACAAAAGCUUUAAAGACGAGCGUUGCCGUUAGGUAUGUAUUUUGGUUUGGUUUAGGGUUUGCCUUAUUUUGGUUUGGUUGAUUUCCGUUAUCAAACGAUCAUUUUGUAAUCUUUUCAAGAAUGAAUGGAUGAGUGGAUAUGCUUAUUUGCUAUUAAUAUAAGGUUUUGUUUAUAGCUAUUCACUUUACUAAUAGAAGCAAAGUGUAAAAAAAAUCAAAAUGGUUUAUGUGGAAAAUUCUGAAUCAUCAAAAUUGUUGUUGUACUUCUUCACUAUUUUCACGUUUGGAACUUCUUGUUUUGUUUAAUUAGUACGAAUUAAAUUGUAGGUGUCAAGUACGGGGUCUGUUGGCUUUCUUUCACUGUUGAACUCAGUCCAAACUAAUUUACCAAUAUCUCAAGAAUCAAAUGCAUCAGAGUUGUUUAGGUUUGUGACCUUAAACCCAACAAAUGUUCUAUAGAUAUCAAUUUGUUCAUAUAAGUUAAAUUCAUUCUUUGGUUGCAGGUUGUAAUGAAGGAACCACAACUUUUUGCACACAAGGAAGUGUUUUAUAUGACAUAGAAGAGAACCUUUAUCAUUUUUGGCAUUUUUGGUGCAUCACAACUCCUCACUAUUUGAACAUCGUACAUGGGAUACAUUCCUAUAUGUAUUGAUAAUAUUUGUUGUAUUGCAAGUUUAAGUUACAAUCAAUUUCAUGUCUUCUUUGUUUGAAUAGAUGGUUAUAUAAAAACCAUUCUUGCACCACUUGGUUGUACCUUGG
rnacentral:lncRNA from 1 species